CACAAAUCUUUUUUUAAUUGAAAAUUUUUAUUUAAUUAAUUAAUUUAAAAUAUUUUCCUGUGGUUACAUGAUUCAUGUUCUUUCCGUCCCCUCCCCCCAUAGCUGAUGCGCAAUUCCACUGGGUUUUACAUGUGUCAUUGAUCAAGACCCAUUUCCAUAUUAUUGAUAUUUACACUUGGGUGACCAUUUAGAGUCUACAUCCCCAAUCCUAUCCCCAUCGGCCCAUGUGUUGUUUUUAUCUUCUGUGUUUCCGCUCCCACAGUUCUUUCUCUGGAUGUGGAUAGCAUCUUUCUCAUAAGUCCCUCUGAAUUGUUCUGGAUCACUGCAUUGCUGCUAGUAGAGAAGGCCACUACAUUCAAUUGUACCACAGUGUAUUAGUCUCUGUGGACAAUGUUCUCCUGGUUCUGCUCCUCUCACUCUGCAUCACUUCCUGGAGGUUGCUCCAGUCUCCAUGGAACUCCUCCACUUUGUUAUUCCUUUCAGCACAAUAGUAUUCCAUCACCAACUUAUACCACAAUUUGCUCAGCCAUUCCCCAAUUGAUGGGCAUCCCCUCAUUUUCCAAAUAAGCACAAAUCUUCAUCUUGAUUUUAUACUAUCUUUAUAUAAAGUUAAGGGCAACUAGGCAGUACAGUGGAUAGCAUGCCAGGCCUAAAGUCAGGAAGACUCAUCUUUAUGAAUUUGAAUCCAGAUUCAGAUGCUGCCUAGCUAUAUGACCCUAGGCAAGUCAAUUAAUUCUAUUUGUCUCAGUUUCCUCAUCUGUAAGAUGAGCUGGAUAAAGAAAUGGCAAACCACUCCAGUAUCUCUGCCAAGAAAACCCUAAAUUCUGUUUGCCUCAGUUUCCUCAUCUGUAAAAUGAGCUGGAGAAAGAAAUGGCAAACCACUCUAGUAUCUCUGCCAAGAAAACCCUGAAUGAGGCCACAGAGUCAGACAAGACCAAAAAAUGACUGACCAACAAUUGAGAGUUGGUCUUUCUGCCUCUAAAGCUCUGAGCUCUAUGGCUGACUACAUCCCAUCCUCUCUCCCCUGCCGCAGCUCUGAGGGAGGUGAAAGACAGAUCAAUGGCCACUUCAAAUAUGGUCAUCCUACCGAGGAUGAUGAGCUGUUCUGUGUCUUCUGUGAGAUAUUUCAUUAGCUAUUUGUCCUCCACUCUUCGGUGCCAGCUGCAGAGUUCCUAAGCAAGGAGUUUUCCCAUCCAUUUCCUGAGAAACAGAGUAAGGACCAGAAUUCCUAUAAAUAAAGGCUUCGGCGGAGGAUGGAGCCGAAGGAGG
rnacentral:lncRNA from 1 species